UUUAGAGGAAGUAAAAGUCGUAACAAGGUUUCCGUAGGUGAACCUGCGAAGGAUCAUUAUUGAAAUAAACCUGAUGGGUUGUUGCUGGUUCUCCAGGGAGCAUGUGCACACCUUGUCAUCUUUAUAUCUCCACCUGUGCACCCUUUGUAGACCUCCCAGGUCUAUGUUGCUUCUUCAUUUACCCCAAUGUAUGUUAAUAGAAUGUUGUGACUAUAUAAAAUCUAUACAACUUUCAGCAACGGAUCUCUUGGCUCUCGCAUCGAUGAAGAACGCAGCGAAAUGCGAUAAGUAAUGUGAAUUGCAGAAUUCAGUGAAUCAUCGAAUCUUUGAACGCACCUUGCGCUCCUUGGUAUUCCGAGGAGCAUGCCUGUUUGAGUGUCAUUAAUAUAUCAAACCCUCUCUUGUUUGUUGAGUGGUUUGGAUGUGGGGGUUUGUUGGCCUCGUAAAAAAGGGUUCAGCUCCUCUGAAAUGCAUUAGCAGAACAACCCUGUUCAUUGGUGUGAUAACUAUCUACGCUAUUGAAUGUGUGGGGCAGUUCAGCUUUCUAAUGGUCCUUUGGACAAAUAUUUAUCAUUUAUGUGACCUCAAAUCAGGUAGGACUACCCGCUGAACUUAAGCAUAUCAAUAAGCGGAGGAAAAGAAACUAACAAGGAUUCCCCUAGUAACUGCGAGUGAAGCGGGAAAAGCUCAAAUUUAAAAUCUGGCGGUCUUUUGGCCGUCCGAGUUGUAAUCUAGAGAAGUGUUAUCCGCGCUGGACCGUGUACAAGUCUCCUGGAAUGGAGCAUCAUAGAGGGUGAGAAUCCCGUCUUUGACAUGGACUGCCAGGGCUUUUGUGAUGCGCUCUCAAAGAGUCGAGUUGUUUGGGAAUGCAGCUCAAAAUGGGUGGUAAAUUCCAUCUAAAGCUAAAUAUUGGCGAGAGACCGAUAGCGAACAAGUACCGUGAGGGAAAGAUGAAAAGAACUUUGGAAAGAGAGUUAAACAGUACGUGAAAUUGCUGAAAGGGAAACGCUUGAAGUCAGUCGCGUCGUCCAGGGAUCAACCUUGCUUUUGCUUGGUGCACUUUCUGGUCUGACGGGUCAGCAUCAAUUUUGAUCAUAUAUUGGAAAAAGAUUGAGGGAAUGUGGCAUCCUCGGAUGUGUUUAUAGCCCUUGGUCAAAUACAAUGGUUGGGAUUGAGGAACUCAGCACGCCGCAAGGCCGGGUGUUUACACCACGUACGUGCUUAGGAUGCUGGCAAUAUGGCUUUAAUCGACCCGUCUUGAAA
rnacentral:rRNA from 1 species